rnacentral:lncRNA from 1 species
AACCCUACAACUCUCUAGCUCUCAGGCCUUUUGGCUCUCCCUCUUCCUCCUGCGCCCCUUUCUCCCUGCGCCUCCACCACAACGGCCGCCGGCCACCACCCUCUCCCUCCCCAGUACGCAAGCCCAUAACAUUGAGACUUGUAGUUCAUUCAAGAAUAGCCACCAGCACAAACUUCAAAAUUGGUUAAGCCGCUUCAUGGUAGGCAAAUAUUAGGCCUUUGGUUUUCCUUUUUUAAGUUUGUACAAAAUAUCAGCAUCCAAUAAAUACUUGUACUAUGUAUUUUUUUUUAAUCAUGCAGCUUCUUGAAGAAUAGCCACCAGCACAAACUUAAAAAUUUGGUUAUUCUGCUUAAAGGCAAGGUAAGUCAGCCGCUGCUUGUUAGUUUUGAAAGAAAGACUGAAAGGCUGACCUGUUAUAUUUGAAACACUCAAAACCAUAGAUGUCCAAGACCCCAAUCUGUGACCUUGACUCCACGUCCUGCCCAAUGGACUUAUUAAUGUUGUCAACGAGCCUGCAGUAGCCACGCUAUAAGCACCACAUUCAAAAAUGUAAAACAACAUGAAGAGACACGGUCAUACCAAUCAAAUAGUCGAGCAUAAACAGUCUUUGCAAGAGUAUCACGACCAAUGACAGCUGCAGAACUGUCAACUGCCUUGAUUAUGUUUCCUUCAGGAGUUUUAAUUGUACGAUAGCACAGAGUUGAAAGCAAAAGCCCUGCAUCGACCCUACAGAUAAACAAACAAGACCUUCUAUAAAAUGGUGCCUAGACAUAACAUGAUUAUGAAUAAUGUUAAAUUGGUGAUGCUCACGAAGAAUCACGAGGCAUAUGAUCAUGAGUACUGUUAAUAUCUUAUAUUUCCAAAAAAAAAAAGAACAUCGUACUAGCUCCGUUCUUAAAUAUAUGUUUCUACAAAUAUUUAUGCAAAUAGGUAGACCUACAAGUUAAAUCUAACGUACAUUUGACGAUAGACGUAGUGGUACUCAAUUUACUUUAUUUAACUAUUUCAUUGAACAGAUUUGUUGGUCAGUCAGUGGUGUCAUAUAUUUAAGAACGUUGGUAGUAUCUACAAAGCAAUGUCCAUACUGAUAAAGCUUAAACCAAAUGAGUAAGCUUUAGGCAAGUACUGGUAGUCUUCUCAAAAAGUUACAAGUUUCAAAUGAGGAAGCAGUUUCAUGAGCUUGAUAAAAUAAAGUGAAGGCCAUGAGACAUAUUUAAUCUAGAAGAUUUAACAAAGUCAUCGAUGCAUAAGGCAUUCCUUCACUACAUUUGAUGGCAUGGCAUGGUGUUAAUUUGGCCGUUAAUAAAGAAAAACAGAAGACCAAAGCAUUUGCCAAUUUUGCGUGAACAAAAUAAGGCUGCUACUUAUGCAAAAGGCUUACUUUUGUGAAGGGGGCAUAUCCCUUUAACUUUGGGUUACUCUAUAGGAGACUCAGGGUUUUGAUGCAAAGAGUUCGUGGUGAGGCAACACCUGUUAGCUAUCUAUGAAAUAGUUUAUCAAAAAGCUGGAAAAACAUAACUAACAAGAAAGAGAAAAUGCAAACACACUAUGACAACAUCACAAAGUAACAUGUUCACUUUGCUUUUUUGUGAUACAGAGCAGAAGCAGGUAAGAAGACUAAGAAUAAAAAUUAAUAAAAUACUUACAUAAGCAAAUCAGCAGCUGUCUGGAGAUGGAAUUUGCAUUUUUCAUCCUUAAUAACAGAUGAAUCAAACUCUUUACCAGGAGAAAAUUCAAUAUUCCCUAGAUGAAGGAUAGCAGCCACAAGUCGGAAUAUAGCUUCCUAAGAGUGAUAGGUAGUAUCAUAAGUCAAAGUUAUUUAUCAAGAGAAAAAGAAUUGAGUGAUUUUCUUUCCCAGUGUAGGAAUGAGGCCAAGAUGAACCUGAUCAGAAAAACAUAUACCAACGAUGUCCAUUGCCCUUCGUGUUUUUAAAUAUUCCUCUGCAUCACUGACCCCUUGUAAUUCAUACAUAUGGCUUUGAUUCACAUAGUUAAAGUUCCUAGGGUGAGCAAGCUUGUAUUUGUCUGCAUCCUGGCAAUACAAAUUUACAUAGCAUAAGGCAUCAAUUAUGAGCUAAAUACCUCUUAAUUGUGGCGCAUACAGUUUCAUAGAAGUUUACAUGAUUGAUAAUACAACAUACAUUUAUAAAUAUUGACCUGCAAGCAGGUUUAACCCAACAGAGUCCCAAUCUCUCUCAUGAUGAUGCAAAUCAUUCGAUUGAGUAAUCGACACAAAUACCAAAAUACCAAACUUUGAAACAAAAUUGAGGAUGAAAUGAUUCCAUAAACCAAAAGCAUCUAUUUUACGAAAUGAAAAUGUCCAUUUCACUCCCCCGAAGGUUUUCAGUUGUCCAGAAUAACCCUCAAAACCAUUUUUCUAGUUCACUUUAUGUUCUCAAACUACUACCAAACAGUCACUUCACUCCCUUUACGUUUGAGGCAAACCUUCACUCCUUAGUGAUAUUUGUUCUUUUUGUUUCUCUUUACACAAGUCUUAUUGUAAGUUGAAACUUCUGUCAGAUUACAGAUGACAACAUAUGUUAUCUUAUGAUAUAUUCAUAAUUUUUCAUGACUACUUGCAUAUCAUGGGAGCUCCUGAAAGAGGUUUAAUACUCGUGAAAUGGAAAUGUUUUGGCCUCCUGAAAUAUAUUUCCAGGCUAAAUUUUAAGGGGAACAUCAUAAUUAGUCUCAGGGGUAACAAUCAAUACAAUCGACAUUAGGUCUAUAGACAAACCUGCCCAGAUGCACAAAGUUGAUAAAAACAGUGGUAAUUCCUUUCAGACUCAGAUAUUUGCACAACACGAGACCGUUCCAGGAGAUAAGUUCGAACUGCAGCCCCAGAUAUUUUACCCGAUUUGUCAAAUUGAAUUUCAACAAAUUUCCCAAAUCGACUGCAAUCAAAUAAAACUAGUAAGUAAAAAUAUGGUUAUAUGCAAGAAAACAGUACACCAGCAAGUAUAUCAUGCUUAUCUACAGCUUUUUUUCCACAUCUUCGAGCAUACGGAUAGGAGUUUCUAGCUUCAUUUAUUUUGAUCAUGAGGGUUACACCUACACUGUUAUAAUUUUAUGCUCAAUCAAUAACUAUAGCACUGUCACUGUUCUAAGAAUAUAAAAUGAUAGAUGUAUCUAGUAUUCUAGUUGCACCUGAACAAAAGAAUCAAACAAGCUUUCUUUUUAUGAAAAAUAGUGAAACAAGUUGACUGACUCAAAGAAAAUUAAUGAACAAAGCUCACCUGGAGUUAUCAUUUCUCACUGUCCGUGCAUUACCAAAAGCCUCCAACAGUGGAUUUGACUACAUUGAAAUGAGAGCAGAAAAGAUGCAGAGUUGAGAAAACAUACAGGCAAAACUUAUUUAGGGGAAAAACUGUUGGGAAUACAUAAAGCCUUUUACAGGACACGUUAAUCAUGGCCCAAAAGCAUUGAUGAGAAAACUGAAAGUUACUUCUAGAACUUGUUGCUCCACAGAGCGGACAUCACCAGCUGCACGCCCCCCAACAAAAGUAAGGUAUCGCAUAAUCAGCUUGGUGGUCUCCGUUUUCCCAGCACCGCUUUCUCCACUGACUAAUAUGGACUGGCUGCGGUUCUCGCUAACCAUAGCUCUUCAAUAAAGAGAGAAAUGUGUCACAUAACACUCCAUAUUAUAAUCUCUAACAUGCUGUAAGCAGGUUUCCAUGUUUCAUACUUGUAUGCUGCAUCGGCAAUGGCAAAAACAUGCGGACUCAAUUCACCGAACUGCACACCUCUGUACUGCUCCAUCAUAUGCAUAUCGUACAUAUGAGGCAGCUUCGCGAAAGGAUUUACAGCGAUCAAGAUGCGCCCUGUGUAUGUCUACAUAAAUUAAACCAACAGGAUAGUCAGAAUAACAGAUGGCACUAAUAACACCACGCAUCAGCAGGUGAUCUAGAAACCCAUGUAAGCAUCAUGUUCUGACGAAACAUAACAUUUAACACAGAUGGAGAAAGGAACCGUUUCCCCCAUUCCACAAAUAUUGGAUACAUGUGAUCUUACACGAGGACAUGAUCCUCCUUUAACACGACUUGGUAGAGCAGCCGACCAAUGUGCAACCAGUGGACAUUGUGAGAUCAUAGAGAGAGUAGAAAAGGUGGGCACACUCACGUAGAUCUCGUUGAGCGUGUAUCGUCGCGCAAGGUUGCAGAGAACCCCAGGCUCGUGAAGGUAGACGAGCUUGGUCAUGUCGUCGACGCCCCCAAGGUCGGCCUCCGUGUCCCGCGGCAGGACCUUCCUGCCAUCCACCACAGCCUGCCCACGCCGCAACCCAGCCACAAAGUUAACCAAGACAAUCCGCCGCCAGGCAAUUCAACAAACACGUAGGCUGCAGCGCACGCAGCGGGGGCUUCGAAGCAAAGAGUUAGGCCGUUGCGCCCUCACCUUGACGCCGGUGGAUAGAACGACCGUGACCGAGGGCUUCGAGGACGGGGAGGCGGGGGAGGAGACGACCUCGGCCUCGGCCCAGGCGAGGUCCGGGUGCUCGACCCACACGGCGGUGCCGGGGCGGAAGAUCAUCGCGGCGGCGGCGAGGAGGAGGCGGUGGCGGUGGGGGUCGCAGCCGUGGCGCUGCGGUUUGUGAGGGAUUCCAGACGGUGGGAGUGGGACUAGCCAUUUCGAAGGAGAGGUGGUCGGGAAGCGAGGGAGACGGCGGGAAGCGCGCUCGAGCGACCGCGUCUGGGGCGAACCAACCGUUGGAAAACGCAGGGAGCUCGUAACUCGUCAGGAGGCAGGAGGGAGGGAGAGAGAGCAGCCGUCAACUCACGAUGCCACGAAGGGUGUGGCGUGUUUGAGUUCUUAUUUUGUGUUUAUUUUAAAACCAUUUGUCAGAUAAAUAAAUUACAUGUAACCCCUUUCAAAAUAUAAAUUUUGUUCUAAGUAAGUUUUUUAACUUAGUAUAAAUCUUAGCAUGAUCGAUAUGAGUUUGGUGCGCAAGUAUAAAAAUUAAUAAUUAAGAAAUCCAGCUCAAUCGCAAUCAAUUGAUUGACAAUUGCGUUUGUUCUAAUACCAGCCAGCCACUUUAUCCUUACCACCAUCAAAACCUGGCUCUCGAGAUGUCUCUUAGCUGCUAGCUCAAGAUAAUUUUGAAGAUUAUGCUGUGAGAGAAAACAACGUCGAAAAAUGAGUGAGGCUACUCUUCUCUCCGCGCUAGUUUCAUAUGGUUUCAAGGAGUAGUAAGUUAGAUUAUUGGAGACAUAUUUCAGUUCGUACCUCAUGUCGUUCUGUUCCGUCUUUCCUCCUUGUCUCUAGGGACUUCUUACCAUCGAUUUUAUUGCUCCCCCUUACCUCCAUGGGAGCCCCUGCCCGUACACAAGCCUUUCAAGCCUUUUGGUGUUCUCCACCUCACCACGCUAUCUUCACGCUUUUCACACCACCACCAUGAGAGGACCCUCUGUUGUGAGCUUGUGGCUUUUCUUCUAAGAUGAAUCGAAUGGGUGAAUCUACACUUUGAAACCUAAUUACUUAAAAUUUUGUUAUAGUUAGGGAGAUAAAAAAAGGGCAAAAUAGGCAAUUUGGUCCUGAACUAUGCACAGAAGGUCAACUUUGUCCAUCAACUUUCAAAUUGGCCAAUUUAAUCCCUCAACUUUCGUUUUUGAUCAAACUCGUCCUUGUGCUGAUACGUGGCUCCAUAUUGUCAUGAAACUAAUACAAAAAGUCCUUUUUACCUUUAGCUCUUUUCUCUCUUCAUUUUUCACCUUUAGAAUUAUAAUAACGAAUGAUCCAAAAUAAAUAUGAGGAUACAUAUAUUUGUCGACGGAGUAUGGUAUAGCAUACCACAUAUGUUGAUUUUAGAGCAUGCGUGCACACAUUAAGUUGUAUAUAUACCAAACAAAUAUGAGUAAAUAUUUGUUUGGGUACAUAUAUUUUGCCUAUCAAAUUCGUAUGAGCACAUAAAUACUUUAAAGAGUACGAGUAGAUACACUUUUUACAAAACUAUAUUUUGUGUUGGUUUAAAAAACAUAUUGUUGUGUGCAUGUAUUAAGGGAGUAUAAGCACAUACAUGUUUGACCUACCUGAGCCAAGGGAAAAGGAGACCUUUUGCAUUAGUCUUAUGCAAACAUAGAGCACUACAUCAGCACAAGGACGAGUUUGACCUAAAAAUAAAAGUUGAGAAACUAUUUUGGCCAAUCUGAAAGUUGAGGGAUGAGCUUGACUCUUGGUGCAAAGUUUAGGAACCAAAUUACCUAUUUUACCAAAAAAAAUUGUUGAAUAUUUGGAGCUCUAAUUAGAGCGGGAAGGCAAAAAAAUGUUGAAUGUUUUAAAUCAUUUAAGCGAGUAUUGUUUAAGGAAGUUUGACUUAGAACUACUUAUAUUUUUUAUUGGAAAAGUACUCCCCUUCUUAAAUUACAGAUUAUUUUAGUUUUUCUAUAUUUAUGAUUUUUUAUGCACUUAAGUAUAUAAUAUAUUUAGAUAUGUAAUAAAAUAUAUGGAUCUAAAAAGACAAAACGACCGACAAUUUAAAAUAAAAUGGAGGCAGCAGUGAAAUACCUAAGUUCGAUAAAUUGAGAAGUGACCUCAGCGAGCUUGUUCAAUUAUUGAUUGUAGCAAAUUUUGUCUUAACUUUGUUUAUGUUAAAAAAAAAGAAAGGAACUGUCUCGAUUUCUCGUGAUAUCAUGAUUACCUUAGUUACACUACUAAGUUUCUGUUUCUAAGGGCUACUACUUUAUUAGUAGUAACAAAAUGUCUCGUAUACAGCAUGUACUAAGAGUACGUAACCUAACGAUUGGGAGCUCUCACACUUUUUAUAACGGCAACAAGUGCAGAGUGCAGGUACACAACCACGUCAAAAUAAUUCCUUGCAAAUAACAAAAACAUAGAAAAUGCAUGGUACCUAAUGCAAUUUGCUCUGCAAGAAAACUCUUGCGAUAAUAAUCAGUACGGAGUAGUAUUUUUUUCCCUCUCCCUCCCUUCCCAACUGCUCCAAUAAAAGUCUCUAUUUAACUCUUCUCUGAACACAACAAAAACUGCACACACAUACAAGGCACUAGAUGAAGAGCUCGAAUAAUGGAAGGGCCGGCUGCUCAGGAUGCAAUCCUGUUCGGGAAUCAGUCCUGCGACCCGGAUUGGAAGAUGAUGAAGGCCGUGAAGAUCCCGACCACGCCGGUGAGCCCCAGCGCCACCGUCGGCAGGGGGGCGGUCAGGCCAACGUUCUGAAGCACCCCUUUGCCGGUGGUCAGCUCCACGGCCACCACCCCCACGAAGCCCAGCAUCGCGCCGCGGCUUAGCCACACGUCCAGCCCGCCGCCGCCGCCGCCCUUGGCUCCCUGCUCGCACCUCACGCUAAGGGCCCUCGGCCUCGCGUUCCUCCUGCUACCUCGAGCAGUGGGGCGUGCUGACGUCACGGACAGCCGGGGAACGCCAUUGCCUGCAAGGAGAAGACGCGAGCAGGGAAGUGAGGAAGAUGGCAUCAUCGCACCCCGAAACAAAUUUUCUUGUCCCAACAAUGAGGGCGAGAGCAUAAAAGUAUAAAACAGCAAGAAAAUCAUGGCCAGCGAUCGAAUCUCCGAAACACCGCCAAUAAAACAUAGAGAUUUUGAUUGCUACCUGCUGCGGAGGCGAGACGGAGGCGAGGAGAAGCGGAGGAGAGGAGGGGAUGAGCCAUGGAUGGUGGAGCAGAGAAGGGAACAGGAGCACUAGCACCUUGCGGUUGCUUCCUGAUUCUUAUCCGCGGGGGCCGGUGGGCGCCCACAGGUCAGCGUCAGCUGUCCACCAGUGGCCGGGCGCGCUUGGUUGGUUUGCUAGCUGGCCUUGCCUCGCCUGACUCGGCAAGGCAAACCUUGCCAGCGUCGGAGAGAAGUUUUAAAAAAAGCAACCUCGCCAAGUUUUCACAAUGAGAGAUAACCGACAAGUCAUCGUAGCUUUGUUGUGCUUAUAGGUUUUAUCCCUAGCAAAGCAAGCAUCGGCAAGACAUCCAAGCACGCCCGUACUCUCCGUCCCAGAAUAUAACUUCAUUUAUAUUUUUCAAAAAUUAAAUUUUAUCAACACUACGUAAAGAAUAAUAAUAUAAAAAUAAUAUUAGCAGAUUUAUUAUGAACCAACUAUUAUAAUAUGUAAUCUUUUUCAUUUAAAAUAAAUUAUUUUUAGAGAUAUUGACUUUAGAAAAGUCUAAACGUAGCUAUAUUUUGGGACGGAGGAAGUAGGUGCAUCACAAAAUCUACAACAGAUUCGACAUCUAACGCUUGAGCUGCUACAGCAUAUUCCGAUCCAGCCAUCAUGGGAGCUCAUCAAGCUGCACUAUUCCAAUAUGAUUCGCUCAAAGAUCAUACUCUCUUAUCUUUUCUUCGACAAACGCCAAGAGAGUCGAUGAGGUUGGGCUAGGGUUAGAGCUUCCGACUUUGAGGGGAUUUUGUGGGCGUGGUAAUGUAAUGCGGAGGUCACUAGAUUGACGGUAGCAAUGGUUGCCAAUACAAGCGGAAUAACAUGAUACAUGGUUAUAGCUAACUAUAAUAGAGUUGGACGUAGAGGCAGAGUCAGAAAACUCAAAUUUUUUCUUGUUACGGGAGAGAGAGGCCAAUAAUGUUAAAAUUUUCAAAACCUAGUCAUUUGUUUUUGGAAACUUGCAUGUUUGGGGGCUGCUUUGCCCCUGCCCACCCCUUGCUUCCGCCACUGGUUGGGCGACGUUUGGAUGAGAUUGACAAUAGGAAUGUCAUACUCGUACUAGUUAGAAGGGACUAGGCAGUAGUCAUUGAUCCAGCGAUGGUUUGAGCCACCAAUAAGGACCUUUUGCUUGUAUAGUGGUUAGAAGGAAAUGGAUGGUGGGCAUUGAUACAACAAUAGAGCUACAAGAGACGAUGGAAGGGGGAAGCAUGUAGGGCUUGUUUGCUUCAGGUCCUGGGAGACUUGCCUGGCUCAGGUAGCAACCCCACGCGUUGGAUUUUGAGUGCCUGAGGUUGGAUGGUGCUGCCUGGUAGGCAACAACCAAACAAGCCCGUAGUCAUGGAGUCGAAGAAGAAAACUAGAAGAGAGAAAAUGAAGGUUGCGUGAAGUAGUGGACGGUGGAGGGGUUCAAUGGCUGUUGCUUCUAGCGAAAGCUACGAGACAUGGUGCUAGCCCACGUGGGUUGAAUGAACGGGAGGAGGGGUAUGGUGUAGAGAAACAUUCAACUCCGAGAAAGGUUGAAGAAGAGAAGGAUGUUAGGAGAUCCGCCAUUAGAUGUAGAUGAUAGUGUAGAAAAUAUUGAUGGAUUUUUCUUCAAAGAUUCUAUAUAGCUACUACCUUCAAGCUAUUGCAAAAAGGAGAUAGAAAUGGACGACAUGUCAUGCUGUGGUGGCAAUGGUGGUCUAUGCCAAGAAUGGCCAACGGUUUCAUUUUAGACUAUUGAUUGAUGAGUUAUCCUGCAACCUUUUACCAUUAUCACUUUUCAAACACUCCAUUGAAUGAUGAUGUAAUAAUAAACAACUAUGUAUGAAUUGGAUGAUGCAAAAAGUCAAAAAAGCUAGUCUGAAUUUCAACAUUUCAUAGAAAAUGUUUUCACGUCAAAAAUUAUUUCUUGUUUUUCAUGAAAAGUUCUAGGCGGACAUUCCUGAUACUUCAAAUUUUAGUUCUUACACUAAAUUUCACUAUUUAUUCUUAGUAAAAUAAUAGGAAAAGAAAAAACAAUUGUAUAUCGUAUAUCCCACUAAGGCCAUGUUUGUUUCCGAUUAUUUCUCGCUUACAAGCGAACAUAGACCGACCCAAACUGUCUGCUUAUUCCCCGUUUAGCAGACAAUCCGCUUAGCUCAAAAUCUUGGAAAUAACGUGCGGACGGAUGGACUUGUAGGUUAACGGUAGUUGCAAUUCUAAUUUUUUUUCCUAGAUAGAUGCACUUGUAGGUUACUGGUAGAUGCAAUUCCAUUGUUCUUUAAGUAUAGACUUGGAUUUUGAAUCAAGUAUGUAGUAUUCUAACAACAUAUUCUCCAUACAGCUGGCUUACCAGACAAUCCUAAUUCCCAGAUAAGUGAGCUCCAUAUAAGCAGAAUCAAAUAGGGCCUAUAAAUAGCAGUUCUACCAACCCUAAUGUUCAUGUAGAUCCAACUACAACUUGAUAUACGUUGUUCCGAGAGGAAAUAUCUUUAGGUAGAGAAAAUUCCUGCUAGUUGUAAACAGGGUACAUCAGCAUGGUUAAGAGAGUCACCCAAGUGGAUACCCAAAUAGUUUCUCCAGGAGUUCACAAGACAAGCAUGGUCUGGUCUCACUCUUAGAGCAAACGCCAAACGUUACACAAAGAAAAAAUAACAUUUUUAGCCUUUCCCUCACUCUUUCUGCACACUUGACUAUAACAAAAUAAAAGAACGAGAACGAUCUGAACAAUCAUCGAUGCCCUCUCAGCAAACUGAAACAAUGGAUUCAAUUAGAUCAAUAAGCGGUGCAAGCUCAGCCUUGUCGAUCAACUUGAAUUCCUGCACAAAGAACGAAACCGAUUCAAAAAAAAAAGAAAAGGACAAGAAUUAAUUGAUUAAUUCAAUCAAUAAACAUUUUCGGCUUGCACCUGAAAUAAUUCUGUUGGAAAAGAUGUCACAAUCACUGACGUGAAAGGGUAUACAUGUCAAAAAAAUGCAUGACGAAAUGGCAAGAAUGAAAGUUAUCAAUAACUUUUCUAUACUUCCAUAUCAUUUUUGAAAUUCUUUGGUUUUCCUACAAACAAAUGAAAACUCUUCUUUCUAACUGAUCAGAACGCAUCAUUCACGGAAAAUAUUUUACCAUGAGAUGGUGCUGUAUAGUGCUCAUGUUGGAGCUGCCAGUGUGUGGGAGCACCUUUAUCUUUUGUAUCUUAGAACUAAAACCUGUUUUUAUAACUCUAUCCUACUUAAUUGAAAGGCAGAGUUCCUACCAUUUGCUUCAAAAAAGGCAGAAGGAUCAAGGGGAG